rnacentral:tRNA from 1 species
GUUUAGCUCAGUUGGGAGAGCAUCUGCCUUACAAGCAGAGGGUCAGCGGUUCGAGCCCGUUAAC